rnacentral:misc_RNA from 1 species
UUUGGCAUCAAGAGUUAUCUUAACACCCUCAUGGAUGAAGUCUGCAACUGCUACAAACUCUUUAUCAGUGAAUCCUCGGGUGGUCAUGGCAGGUGACCCAAUUCGAAUGCCUCCCGGAACUAGAGCACUCUUGUCACCAGGUACUGAGUUCUUGUUGAGAGUGAUUGAGGCCAUGUCGAGAAUUUUCUCCACCCGUGCCCCAUCGAUACCCAAUGGCCUUAGGUCUACAAGAACUAGGUGAUUGUCACUUCCCCCGGAAACUAGCUUAUAACCUAACUCGACAAGUCGACUUGCAAGAGCUCUACAAUUGGAAACAACCUUGUUCUGAUAGACCUUAAAUUCUGAGGAUUGUGCAUGCUUCAAGCAGACGGCUAGUCCCCCAAUAGUAUGAUUAUGAGGACCACCCUGUAAUCCUG